UACGAAGGGAGCUAGCGUUGUUCGGAAUCACUGGGCGUAAAGCGCACGUAGGCGGAUGUGUCAGUCAGGGGUGAAAUCCCGGAGCUCAACUUCGGAACUGCCUUUGAUACAGCACGUCUUGAGUCCGAUAGAGGUGGGUGGAAUUCCUAGUGUAGAGGUGAAAUUCGUAGAUAUUAGGAAGAACACCGGUGGCGAAGGCGGCCCACUGGGCAGGAAGGCUCGCAAGAGCCGGCUGACACUGAGGCGCGACAGCGUGGGGAGCAAACAGG
rnacentral:rRNA from 1 species